GAAUUUUGGACAAUGGGCGAAAGCCUGAUCCAGCAAUGCCGCGUGCAGGAUGAAGGCCUUCGGGUUGUAAACUGCUUUUGUACGGAACGAAAAGCUUUGGGUUAAUACCCUGGAGUCAUGACGGUACCGUAAGAAUAAGCACCGGCUAACUACGUGCCAGCAACCGCGGGAAUACGUAGGGUGAAAGCGUUAACCGGAUUUCCUGGGCGUAAGGCGUGCGCAGGCGGUUUGGUAAGCCGGGGGGGAAACCCCGGGCCUCACCCUGGGAACUGCUUUGGGACCGGAAGGGUUGGGUUACGGAGGGGGGGGUGGAAUUCCGCGUGUAGCAGUGAAAUGCGUAGAUAUGCGGAGGAACACCGAUGGCGAAGGCAACCCCCUGGGCCUGUACUGACGCUCAUGCACGAAAGCGUGGGGAGCAAACAGG
rnacentral:rRNA from 1 species